ACUCCUACGGGAGGCAGCAGUGGGGAAUAUUGCACAAUGGGGAAAACCCUGAUGCAGCCAUGCCGCGUGUGUGAAGAAGGCCUUCGGGUUGUAAAGCACUUUCAGUAGGGAGGAAGGUAGUGUAGUUAACACCUGCACUAUUUGACGUUACCUACAGAAGAAGCACCGGCUAACUCCGUGCCAGCAGCCGCGGUAAUACGGAGGGUGCGAGCGUUAAUCGGAAUUACUGGGCGUAAAGCGCAUGCAGGUGGUUUGUUAAGUCAGAUGUGAAAGCCCGGGGCUCAACCUCGGAAUUGCAUUUGAAACUGGCAGACUAGAGUACUGUAGAGGGGGUAGAAUUUCAGGUGUAGCGGUGAAAUGCGUAGAGAUCUGAAGGAAUACCGGUGGCGAAGGCGGCCCCCUGGACCAGAUACUGACACUCAGAUGCGAAAGCGUGGGGAGCAAACAGGAUUA
rnacentral:rRNA from 1 species